UGGGGAAUUUUGCACAAUGGGGGAAACCCUGAUGCAGCGACGCCGCGUGAUUUAGAAGGCCUUCGGGUUGUAAAAAUCUUUUCUAUGGGAAGAAAAUGACAGUACCAUAGGAAUAAGGACCGGCUAAUUACGUGCCAGCAGCCGCGGUAAUACGUAAGGUCCGAGCGUUGUCCGGAAUCAUUGGGCGUAAAGGGUACGUAGGCGGGUAAGCAAGUUAGAAGUGAAAUCCUAUAGCUCAACUAUAGUAAGCUUUUAAAACUGCUCAUCUUGAGGUAUGGAAGGGAAAGUGGAAUUCCUAGUGUAGCGGUGAAAUGCACAGAUAUUAGGAGGAAUGCCGGUGGCGAAGGCGACUUUCUGGCCAUAACCUGACGCUGAGGUACGAAAGCGUGGGUAGCAAACAGG
rnacentral:rRNA from 1 species